UAAAAUAAAUAGUAGAUUAUAUUGUUUAUAUCGUUUUAAUUGAGGGAAUCCAGUUAAAAUCUGGAGCGGUCCCGCCACUGUAAUAGGGUGUGUGCUCUCUAAUUAAACCACUGGCAAAAUGUUGCCGGGAAGGUAGAGAGUAAAGUCCCUUAAGCCAGGAAACCUUAAAAGUGUAUUAAUUACCU
rfam:Actinobacteria bacterium RBG_13_35_12 RBG_13_scaffold_16681, whole genome shotgun sequence.